AUGGUUCAAAACGCAAAUAACUACAACACCAUGCAAAUUUUGGUGUAUACCAUUUUAGUGCAAAUUUUGGCAUGUUUUGUUUGGUGUUUGUGUAUAGGUCGUAGCAGGGUCUAUGCAGGGCUGGUCUAUGGGGCUUGUGGAUGGUUGGUGGAAGACUGUUUUGAUAGACUAUUGUAUGCAGGAAUUUGCCAGCAUGGGGCAGAGUUGGUGGACUGGUUUAAUAGAAGGUGUUUGGACUGGUUUAUAAACAGUAUGCAGGACUGGCUUUUGACAUGGUUUUGGAAUGCUUUGUAG